AUUGAACGCCGGCGGCAGGCCUAACACAUGCAAGUCGAGCGGAUGAAGGGAGCUUGCUCCUGGAUUCAGCGGCGGACGGGUGAGUAAUGCCUAGGAAUCUGCCUGGUAGUGGGGGAUAACGUCCGGAAACGGGCGCUAAUCCCGUAUACGUCCUGAGGGAGAAAGUGGGGGAUCUUCGGACCUCACGCUAUCAGCUGAGCCUAGGUCGGAUUAGCUAGUUGGUGGGGUAAAGGCCUACCAAGGCGACGAUCCGUAACUGGUCUGAGAGGAUGAUCAGUCACACUGGAACUGAGACACGGUCCAGACUCCUACGGGAGGCAGCAGUGGGGAAUAUUGGACAAUGGGCGAAAGCCUGAUCCAGCCAUGCCGCGUGUGUGAAGAAGGUCUUCGGAUUGUAAAGCACUUUAAGUUGGGAGGAAGGGCAGUAAGUUAAUACCUUGCUGUUUUGACGUUACCAACAGAAUAAGCACCGGCUAACUUCGUG
rnacentral:rRNA from 1 species